rnacentral:miRNA from 1 species
GCAGACACAUUCCAGCCAAUCAGCAGCAGACCCUCCCUCCCAGACCCUCCCACCUCCUGGACAGCAUCCAUUUUACAUUCAUUGUGGAGCUGCAUUCUUAGUGAGCUGUCCAGGAGGUGGGAGGGUCUGGGAGGGAGGGUCUACUGCUGAUUGGCUGGAAUGUGUCUG